UGGUCUUGUUUAGUCUUGAGAGGUCUUGUGGGGCCUUAGCUCAGCUGGGAGAGCGCCUGCUUUGCACGCAGGAGGUCAGCGGUUCGAUCCCGCUAGGCUCCAUUGGUGAGAGAUCACCAAGUAAUGCACAUUGAAAAUUGAAUAUCUAUAUCAAAUAGUAACAAGAAAAUAAACCGAAACGCUGUAGUAUUAAAAGAGUUUAUGACUGAAAGGUCAAAAAUAAGGUUAAGUUAAUAAGGGCGCACGGUGGAUGCCUUGGCACUACGAGCCGAACAAGGACGUGACAGACGACGAUCUGCCUUGGGUAGCUGUAAGUAAGCGAUGAUCCAAGGAUUUCCGAAUGGGGGAACCCAACAGGUACUACCUGUUACCCAUAUCUGUUAAGGAUGUGAGGAGGAAGACGCAAUGAACUGAAGCAUCUGAAUAGCUGCAGAAGGACAAAACAAAAGCGAUUGCCUUAGUAGCGCGGAGCGAACA
rnacentral:rRNA from 1 species